UACGCAGGUGGCAAGCGUUAUUCGGAUUCACUGGGCGUAAAGGGUGCGCAGGCGGCCGAGUGUGUGAGGCGUGAAAGCCCGGGGCUUAACCCCGGAAUUGCACCUCAAACUACACGGCUAGAGCAUUGGAGAGGGUAGCAGAAUUCAUGGUGUAGCAGUGAAAUGCGUAGAUAUCAUGAGGAAUACCAGAGGCGAAGGCGGCUACCUGGACAAUUGCUGACGCUCAGGCACGAAAGCGUGGGGAGCAAAAGGG
rnacentral:rRNA from 1 species